AUUGAAGAUGCAUACUCGUGGAGUCGUAGUUCAAAAAAGAGGGAAAAUGCUGAACCAACUGCAGCAACAAAUGUUUAUUUGUUUGAUAAUUUCGAUUUGGAUAAACCUGAUAUUUUCAACUAUCUUCGCCACAUGGAGAUGGAGAAAAGGAGAACACCUCUCCUUCGUCACUCGAUUCGAACUCACCGAACAAGACGAAGCCACGAAUCUUGUCCUCGAUCAUCUUGAACACGAAUCCAGUAACCUCUCUCUUCAUAAAUAUUUUUCUUUAAUUCUCGUUUUAAUUUAUCAUUGAUGUAACAUUUUUUGUGUGCAAUCACAGUCAAAUCUACAGCCGUCGACAUAGAGCCAGUUCAACGAGUGGUGAACUUGUUACUGGAAGCUGACGUGCCGAAUGAAACCUUUGAAACCUUUGCUUCAUCUUAUUCUUCUGCUAUUGUCGUCAUUGACGUGUUUGAUGUUCCUAGAUAUAAAUAUGAUGCUAUCGGAAGGAAUUUCCACCAAUAGGUUUUUGGUUCAUUGAGUUCUUUUUUCUUUUUUUCUUUUCGUUAGAAUAUUCCUGCAUUUGGUCUAUGAAUUUUAUUGAAUCCUACUUGAUUUACUAAUUUAGGGCAAGUGUAAUUAGAAGAACAUGUUAGAUGAGUUAUAUGGUAAUUGAAAUUUUAUUUAGGGCAAAUUACCCCUGGAAGAAGUUCAAGAAGUCACGAUAAAAUAUUUACCAUAAAAAUAUUGAAGUAGGAUAAGUUAAUAUCAUUUUACAUUGUGUAAGAAACAUGUCAAUAGUUAAGCUAUUUGUCGGAAAUUCGUGUUGGCUAUUUAUAUUUGAUUUUGUUUAUCAUAUAUCAUCAACAUAGGACCAUGUUUAUAUUUUGUGGUUAUUUUAUAGGUACCCAGAAAGCUUAUCUCUUCACGGAGAUGCAGCAGCCAAGUCUGCGUUGUACAGGGAUAGGUUUCUGUUGUUGUCCCAGAGGCUUUCUCAUCACCGAGAUUUUUUGAAACCUGCUUUUUAGUCCGAACUUUCCCAAUUCAGGAGUUGUGAGGUACUGCUGAAUGUUAUAACUAAUUAUGAACUUUGAAUGAUGUUGCCAAAUGUUUAGCAAUUUUGUGUUUAAUGCAUAAAUCAAUUAGUAUUUUUAGGAGGAUUAAUAUAUGUACUGUAAUGUAAUGCCAUGCUGUUUUUGUCAAAUAUCUCAUUCAAUCUCUAGUUGGGCAAAAAGGUAAACGAUGGGUAAUGGGAGUAAUAUCUCAGCUUGAGUAUGGACAUUUUUAUUUGGAAGACCUUACCACUUUUGUUAAAAUCAGUUUAUCUGGUGCUAUAUCCUUUUGUGCUUUGACAAAUGUUACUUUAUAUUGUCAUAAGAACUCCAUAAUAUUGUUGAAUGUUCUAUUACAUCGUUUUGUUGGGGAUAAAGCACUACUAAACGAGUGUUAAAAUAAUGUUUGCUUCACCUAAUUAAGUGCACUCUUUUGAGUCAUUAUAACCUAUAAAUACUUUUUUUUAGAGUUCCUUUUGUUUUUUUCCUGAAAUGUUCCAAGUCAGGGAUGUGUAAGGUUGCUUGCAUCUUGUUAGUUCCUGCCACAUAAUGAUAGUAUGAUAACCUAAUUGAUUGAAGGAUUUGGUACACAACGCUUAGAAUACAUUUGACAACUUUAACAGUUCAAAUGUGUCUGCUAAAGACACAUAUUCUUGUGCAUAGUUGUCUUUUCAUAAUUUUCAUCAAUGUGUAUGCUAUAGCUUGUAUAUCUGUUCAAGUUUCUUGUAAGCUAAAUACAUGAUCAUUAGUUUCUUUAACUCGCCAUACAAGCUUAUUCUCUGAAGGUACACAACUCUGUUUCCUGAAUUUAGUCUGAUGUAUAUUUGUCGAAGUCAUACGAGAACAGUUAGACGGGGUGAUGAUGUGUAGUCCGAUAAAAUUUGUGGCUUCAUGCUUUUGAAAUUGUGGUCUGCUACUCCAUGUAGUUGUUACGAUACAACUGCAUCAAAUCCUUGAACCAAUCAGAAACAAGCCUUUUUAGAUACACUUUUUAUGUGGUAGCUUCUUCACGGCGUUUGAGCAAUCUUCCUUGGAUAAUUCUAUUACCUAACUCUGUUAUUAUUUUUGUUGGAUACUAAUAUUUUGACCUUAAAAACCAGUUGCUGAUUAAAACAUUUUUGUGCUAUAAUUUUCUAGGUACAAGAUCAGAUCCACCGAGUAGGAUAUCAUGUAGAUGCUAAUACACCUGAUAGAAAGAUUCGGAAGAAGGUGAGUGUACGAGUCAGGGAUAAGGCAGACCAUAGCGUUAUGACCAUUGAAUGAAAGCAUUUUUCUUGGAUGCAUUUUUCUUGGGUAAAGCUCUGGCUGAAACUUUGAAUGAUAGAAUUGAGUCGACGGUUGGUGAAUUUUUGAGUAAUGUUGGAGGACUGCAAGCUGAAUGACAAAAACAAGCUUGGACCUUCAUAUAUCAAUCUAACAUUGCAGUGGCAUACAAUUUAAAAUUGAUGCAUUGCACCAUGAACAACAUUCCGCUGAUGGGGUUAUUUCAUAUUUAGAUUCACAUCUUUGACUAGUUUGAAACUAAUAUGUAUACAGGAAGAAGUGUUGGAUAGAGCAAAGGAAAAAGCAGCACGUGAAGCUACAGAGGCACAACCACAGGGUCUGGUUUCCAACUUUGCAGCGUACACAGAAGUCGUUGUGGAUUCAGCUUCUUCAGGAACUUCAUAUUCUUCAACCGAUCAAUUUACUUCGGUACAGUAUACCGAUGCAUCUGAAACAUCCACUGAGCCCACCAUAGGGGAGGGUCCCACUCUAAGUUCUUAAGUGAUAUAUUUUCCUUUUGUCUUUCGACAGGUUUUUGCUAAAUAUGUUAGUUCCUUAUGUAUACCAGAUAUAAAAUUCGAUACUUUUUGGUUGAUAUUUCUUGUAAACAAAUAAAUGAAUUACGUUCUUGAA